AGGGCGGAUACUUAGACACCUUAUGAAAAUUAAAAUUAGCACUAUAGGUAUUCUUCUUAUCUUAAUUUAUAUUUAUUAUGCUUUGAUUAUUAUAGUCAAGAGUUUCUGGGCAUUAGGGCUUCCGGUGCAUUGGGUGUUUUGAAUGAAAAUUUUAAACACCUAACCCUUCCGCUAUGCCACCGAAACCCAACAGUGAUAUCAGAGCCUAUCU
rnacentral:lncRNA from 1 species